GUGCCUGUGGCGCAAGGGAUUGCGCGUUGGGUAUCUAAUCCAAAGGUCGUGGCUUCGAAUCCCACCUGGGAUG